CCGCGGUAAUACGGAGGGGGUUAGCGUUGUUCGGAAUUACUGGGCGUAAACCGCACGGAGGCGGAUUAGAAAGUUGGGGGUGAAAUCCCGGGGCUCAACCCCGGAACUGCCUCCAAAACUGCUAGUCUAGAGUUCGAGAGAGGUGAGUGGAAUUCCGAGUGUAGAGGUGAAAUUCGUAGAUAUUCGGAGGAACACCAGUGGCGAAGGCGGCUCACUGGCUCGAUACUGACGCUGAGGUGCGAAAGUGUGGGGAGCAAACAGGAUUAGAUACCCUGGUAGUCCACACCGUAAACGAUGAAUGCCAGUCGUCGGGUAGUAUACUAUUCGGUGACACACCUAACGGAUUAAGCAUUCCGCCUGGGGAGUACGGUCGCAAGAUUAAAACUCAAAGGAAUUGACGGGG
rnacentral:rRNA from 1 species